rnacentral:lncRNA from 1 species
AGUGGGCAGAGUGGAGCCCUUGGAAGCAGCGCUGCGGGAAAGAGCGCGGCAGGAGGUUCUCAGGUUUAGCCUGGGGCAUGGGGAAGAGUCGUGGCCACGAGGGGUGAUGAGGCCGGGAAGACAGAUAAUUGAAGGUUGUCCGGCGCGUCCACAGCUAGAGAGCUAUAACUGGCUUUCUGAAAAGGGCACCAUUUCUGGUGUCACAGACAUGAAUUUGAAUUCUGGCUUUGUUACUUAGAAGCCGUGUGGCCACCGGCAAGUUACUUCGCCUGUUCUGAGCUAGUUCAUUUAUAAAAUAAAGACACCUCCCAAAUGUCUGUAUUUCACAGCCGAUGCGAUCAGCUCUGAAUCCGAUCGCAUGCGACAAUUUGCACAAGACACUCAGCAGUGAAUCUUGUAGUUAAGGAAGCCUCGUGGAUACUUUAUGCGCCUUAUAGUUUAUCCGAACAACACACAUGGAAGGGAGGUACCGACAUCCCCCUUUCACAGAUGAGGGGGAGUCCUAGGUCUUUCAUUCCACAAGCGCUCCCUGGGACAAGCACCCCCUGGGGACCAAGCAUGUGCCAGGCUUUGGGAAUGGCGAGGGAAAAGAGCCAAUUUGAAGAGAAGGCAAGAACAUGAGCUUUGAAGCUAGAGGAAGCUGGGGUUCCUAAACUCUGCUCUGCUACUUUCUUGCUGUGUGAACUGUUUCUUGCUGUGUGCCACUUUCUUGCUGGGUGAUCAAGUUAUUCAGCCUGAGUCUUUUUUCUAUAAACCAAGGAAUGUUACCCAUCACGGUGGUUUGUGAGGAUUAGAACAAAAAUGGAAGAUAAAAUAGUCUGGAACCUGGCAGGCACUUCCAUAGGUGAUUAUGACAGAAGACACUAUCCUCUCUGGGAGUUAUCUGACCUAGGGCCAAAUUGCUUUCACUCUCUAAUGACUAAUGGAUUGGCAUGCUGGUCUUUCUUUUGUCCUGGCCACCUGAACAACUCAGUCCUGGGAGUCCUGACAGGCAAUUUCCUUGGAAUUAGCUUAAUAAUACCUCGUAGGUGUGUGAUGCAUUUCAAAGAACUUUCCCACCAUUAUCUUCUGUCCUGGGAGGCAGCAGGGCACAGAAGGAGCAUGGCUCAGAGAGGUGGAAUGC